rnacentral:rRNA from 1 species
GCCCCGGUAAACGGCGGCCGUAACUAUAACGGUCCUAAGGUAGCGAAAUUCCUUGUCGGGUAAGUUCCGACCUGCACGAAUGGCGUAAUGAUGGCCAGGCUGUCUCCACCCGAGACUCAGUGAAAUUGAACUCGCUGUGAAGAUGCAGUGUACCCGCGGCAAGACGGAAAGACCCCGUGAACCUUUACUAUAGCUUGACACUGAACAUUGAGCCUUGAUGUGUAGGAUAGGUGGGAGGCUUUGAAGUGUGGACGCCAGUCUGCAUGGAGCCGACCUUGAAAUACCACCCUUUAAUGUUUGAUGUUCUAACGUGGGCCCGUAAUCCGGGUUGCGGACAGUGUCUGGUGGGUAGUUUGACUGGGGCGGUCUCCUCCUAAAGAGUAACGGAGGAGCACGAAGGUUGGCUAAUCCUGGUCGGACAUCAGGAGGUUAGUGCAAUGGCAUAAGCCAGCUUGACUGCGAGCGUGACGGCGCGAGCAGGUGCGAAAGCAGGUCAUAGUGAUCCGGUGGUUCUGAAUGGAAGGGCCAUCGCUCAACGGAUAAAAGGUACUCCGGGGAUAACAGGCUGAUACCGCCCAAGAGUUCAUAUCGACGGCGGUGUUUGGCACCUCGAUGUCGGCUCAUCACAUCCUGGGGCUGAAGUAGGUCCCAAGGGUAUGGCUGUUCGCCAUUUAAAGUGGUACGCGAGCUGGGUUUAGAACGUCGUGAGACAGUUCGGUCCCUAUCUGCCGUGGGCGCUGGAGAACUGAGGGGGGCUGCUCCUAGUACGAGAGGACCGGAGUGGACGCAUCACUGGUGUUCGGGUUGUCAUGCCAAUGGCACUGCCCGGUAGCUAAAUGCGGAAGAGAUAAGUGCUGAAAGCAUCUAAGCACGAAACUUGCCCCGAGAUGAGUUCUCCCUGACCCUUUAAGGGUCCUGAAGGAACGUUGAAGACGACGACGUUGAUAGGCCGGGUGUGUAAGCGCAGCGAUGCGUUGAGCUAACCGGUACUAAUGAACCGUGAGGCUUAACCUUACAACGCCAAAG